rnacentral:rRNA from 1 species
UGAGGAAUAUUGGUCAAUGGGCGCGAGCCUGAACCAGCCAAGUCGCGUGAGGGAUGACGGUCCUACGGAUUGUAAACCUCUUUAGGCGGGGAGUAAUGUGCUCUACGCGUAGAGUAGUGAGAGUACCCGCAGAAUAAGCAUCGGCUAACUCCGUGCCAGCAGCCGCGGUAAUACGGAGGAUGCGAGCGUUAUCCGGAUUUAUUGGGUUUAAAGGGUGCGCAGGCUGUGCAUCAAGUCAGCGGUAAAAUCUCGGGGCUCAACCCCGUUUAGCCGUUGAAACUGGUGUGCUGGAGUGUGCGCGAGGAAGGCGGAAUGCGCGGUGUAGCGGUGAAAUGCAUAGAUAUUGCGCAGAACUCCGAUUGCGAAGGCAGCCUUCCAGUGCAUGACUGACGCUGAGGCACGAAAGCGUGGGUAUCGAACAGG